UCAACUCCACCAUCAGGGAAACCACCGGAAUUCAUUCAGAACUCGCCCACACCAAAAACAUCGGAGCUUGCUCACCCAGGAAGCAAAAAGUCCAUGUCCAUGUCCAUGCUUUACAAGGGAGUCAGUGCAGCCAAAAACCCAGGAACACCGUGACUUGGAUUCGAUCUGCCACCUCUGGACCGGAUAAGCAAGCGGGCCUAAGGUGUAUAAAAAAUGGUUUGGCCGGAUUAGUAAUCCGGUGCUUAUUUAGUCCAAAACUCACCAAACACCUGUUUUGUAUUAUAUAGAACUAUCAUGUGUCUUAUAUGGUGUUCCAAAUGAGGUUUAUGGUGCUAUUGAAUAUCUUGUAGGCUUUUUAGCCAAAAUGGUUUCUGAGGUUUGCAUAACUCAUCACUUUGGUCAUUGAGAUUUGAAAUCAUUAAAAGUAGUCCCUGAGUUUGUCCACCAUCAAUCAUUAAAAAAAACUAAUGAAAAGAGUUUGAAAACUUUGAGUUUGAACGAUAAGGACUAAAUAAAGGUGAAUGGUACCAGAAUUGAUUUUUCUAGUGUAAAAAUGUGGUUUUUCCGUCAAAGUAAACAGUAAUGAGAGUUUUUUGUUAAAGUUCCUUUUUUUUUUUUUUAUCUAUUUUGUGAUAACCAGAGUGGGCGGCCGCCUAGGUUUACAUUUCUGAGGGCCCCAAAUUUUAUGUAAAUCAAAUGAUGUGAUUGUUGAUAAUUGAAUUAUUACUUAACCGUU